UACGUAGGUGGCGAGCGUUGUCGGGAUUUACUGGGCGUAAAGCGCGCGCAGGCGGACUGAUCAGUCUGGGGUGAAAUCUCACGGCUCAACUGUGAGCGGUCCCUGGAUACUGUCAGCCUUGAGAUGUCUAGAGGAGAGCGGAAUUCCCGGUGUAGUGGUGGAAUGCGUAGAUAUCGGGAGGAACACCGGUGGCGAAGGCGGCGUUCUGGACUGCAACUGACACUGAUGGACGAAAGCCAGGGGAGCAAACGGG
rnacentral:rRNA from 1 species